rnacentral:rRNA from 1 species
AGAGUUUGAUCCUGGCUCAGAUUGAACGCUGGCGGUAUGCUUAACACAUGCAAGUCGAACGGUAACAGGAACUAGCUUGCUAGUUUGCUGACGAGUGGCGGACGGGUGAGUAACGCGUAGGAAUUUGCCUUAAGGCGGGGGAUAACUCGGGGAAACUCGAGCUAAUACCGCGUAUGCUCUACGGAGUAAAGUGUGGGACCUUCGGGCCACACGCCUUAAGAGAAGCCUGCGUAAGAUUAGCUAGUUGGUGGGGUAAGAGCUCACCAAGGCGACGAUCUUUAGCUGGUCUGAGAGGACGAACAGCCACACUGGGACUGAGACACGGCCCAGACUCCUACGGGAGGCAGCAGUGGGGAAUAUUGGACAAUGGGGGCAACCCUGAUCCAGCAAUACCGCGUGUGUGAAGAAGGCCUUCGGGUUGUAAAGCACUUUCAGUUGGGAGGAAGGAGUAAUGUUUAAUAGGCAUUAUUAUUGACGUUACCAACAGAAGAAGCACCGGCUAACUCUGUGCCAGCAGCCGCGGUAAUACAGAGGGUGCAAGCGUUAAUCGGAAUUACUGGGCGUAAGGGGCGCGUAGGUUGUUAGUUUAGUCAGAUGUGAAAUUUCAGGGCUUAACCUUGAGAGGCCAUCUGAUACUGGCUAGCUAGAGUACAGUAGAGGGAAGAGGAAUUUCCGGUGUAGCGGUGAAAUGCGUAGAUAUCGGAAGGAACAUCAGUGGCGAAGGCGUCUUCCUGGACUGAUACUGACACUGAGGCGCGAAAGCGUGGGUAGCGAACAGGAUUAGAUACCCUGGUAGUCCACGCCGUAAACGAUGAGAACUAGCUGUUGGGCACGACAGUGUUUAGUAGCGAAGCUAACGCGCUAAGUUCUCCGCCUGGGGAGUACGGCCGCAAGGUUAAAACUCAAAGGAAUUGACGGG